UACGUAGGAUGCAAGCGUUGUCCGGAUUUACUGGGCGUAAAGGAUGCGUAGGCGGACAUUUAAGUCAGAUGUGAAAUACCCGAGCUUAACUUGGGUGCUGCAUUUGAAACUGGGUGUCUAGAGUGCAGGAGAGGUAAGUGGAAUUCCUAGUGUAGCGGUGAAAUGCGUAGAGAUUAGGAAGAACACCAGUGGCGAAGGCGACUUACUGGACUGUAACUGACGCUGAGGCAUGAAAGCGUGGGGAGCAAACAGG
rnacentral:rRNA from 1 species